GGGGAGGGCUGGAGGAAGGGUGAAGUACACUUUCCUUUGUAGCUGAGCAGCCCCGUGGCAUGGGGAGGAUCUUCUUCACCAGGUGACUCACCACCAGCAUCCCUACCCCACUCCAGUGACCACUGAGCUAUGCAUGGAGAAAGCUGGAGGGGACAAAUGGGAUCUCCAGCUUGCAAACGUCCAGCCUUCUUCCCCCAGUCCCAAGCUUCCAUCCUUUGGCAGAGGAAGAGGAAGGUGGGAGAGGGGGAAGAGCCAAGCAGGAGCAGAGGCUCCUACAGCUGCUAACUGCAUUGGCAUGGUUGAAGAGGCCUCAUGGACCAAGCGGAGAACAGCAACUUGGCUGCUCCGUCCCUGGGAUGUCUCUUGGGUGAACUUCAUCCCGGACCUGUGGUAAAGCUACUGGGAGUGAGAGUGCUUAACUUUCAGAGUCUUCUUGAGAUGAGACAGGAGACCUCUGAGUCGCUGAAGGUCAAAAUAAUCUACCUUCCCACUCGAGAAGGGUUGGGGAGGGACAUAUGCCUCUGCAGUAGAAAAGGAAGCUCAUCUGUCCCAUCACUGCCAUGCAUGGGACCCCCACACAGGUAUCAGCACAACAGGUGAGCCCAAAGACAGAGCCUGGGGCCCAGCCUGGAGCCACAUCAAGCAUCUAAUUUUGUUGUUGUAAGAACACGAGCCAUUGAGGCACAGAUAACUUCCACAACAAAGCACAUGCUAGUUCCACACCGAAACAGGAGAUGAGCCUUCCAGCCCUUUUUCCCAGGAAAACUGGAUCCUUUGAAAACUCAUCAUCCUGCACGUGUUGAAUCCAACAUGAACUAUCCACCACCUCUCUAUCAACUAUCUUGCUAUCCACUAUCAAUAAA
ensembl:lncRNA